CUCCUUCCCUUUUUCCUCCAUUCUCUCUUUCCUCUUCUCCCUCUCUCUUUCUCUCUCACUUAUAUUGGGUUUAUUCUAAACUCAGCCACCCUUGAACCCAUUCUCUCUCCUGCAGGUACAAUAGUUCUUAGGAUUUGCUAAGAUCUUGGAAAAUAAAGGAGAUGCUUCACCCGACCAGUGAGGAUGCUCUCUGCCACACCUUUGGAAAUGUUGUGGAUAGGGAAUUAAAGGAAGUGGUGUUCCACCACCAGGGGCCAUCCCAGAAGGAUUGUGGUUGUGCUGGACGUGCUGUUCAUGCAACAACUCUACUGUUCUUUCUGUCUAUUCGAGACCUGUCACUUUGCAUUUUCUUUCUCCAAGAAGACCCAAACAUCAAGAGACUCACAUGUCUGGGGGGACUGGAACGCGUAGGAAUGGAAACAAAUGGAAAUACAUUAUACCAGUGGAACUUCAGCUAUGACCUGAAAUGUGUUACCUAAGAGCUCUGUAAGGGAGAAAUUGAAAACUUUUUUUUUUCUAUCUUAAUAUUAUAUAAUCUAGUCACUGUUGAAAAACCCUUCAAAUUUCAUUUUUUUUAGUAAUUACUUUGUAGAGUUUUUUGAGGAUUAAAUGAAAAAAUUUAUGUAAAGUGCAUAGAACAGUGUCCCUUCUGUUAUGAGCACUCAAUAAAUAUUACCUAUUAUUAUUACUUUUAAAACUUUUCAUGCAGCAAUAAUAUAUUUGUUCAACUGCAAUUGAAAUUUAUUUGAAUUUUAAUGUUUUGGGCUCCCUGGUGUCAUUUACCACUGUAUUUGAUUUAAAAGGGCUCAAGUACUUGGUAAUAUGCAAGGUGGAUCAUCAAGCAUCUUUACUGCAAUUGUGUUUGCAAAGUACAUUCUGGUCUUCUCUUAGUCUGUUCGGUCCCACUAUAAGAAAGAGAAUUCUGUGUCAGAGAUCCUAUUGAAAAAUGAAGAAUCUAAGUGUCAGGAGAAAUGAAAUGACAACAAUUAAAUGACAACAUUCUAACCUCUCUCUAGAUGAAGAAGGACCAUCUUCUCUGGGACUUGGGCUCAUACGUGAGGUAUAUGCAUCCACACUGGAGUAGGAAGUGGCAACCCACUCCAGUGUUCUUGCCUGGGAAAUCCCAUGGACAGUGGAGCCUGGUGGGCUACAGUCCAUGGUGGUUGCAAAGAAUCAGACAUGACUGAGUGAUUAGACAACAAGAGCAGUGCAUCCACACACGUGAAUAUAUGCCUUUAUGUGUCCUACUCAACAAAUUCUCUUUUUUUUCUUUUUUGGCCAUGCUGUGCAGCUUGUGGGAUCUCAUUUCCCCAACCAAGAAUUGAACCCAAGCCCUCUGUAGUGGAACUGAGGAGUUCCAACUCCUGGCCUGCCGGGUAAUUCCCCAAAAAUUCUUUUUCCUAGAGUAUGGAAAGGCAAAAAGCUAGAGCUAGUGAGUCAUAAUCAUUCCUUAAGCUUUUGACUGAAGAGCUGCAGCUUGUCAGCUAAUGAAAAGGAAGUAUUAUUCCCAUUUAAGAGCUGGAAUCCUGAGAUAGAGUGCCCUGGCUCUUGCCAUCAAGAUUUUUGCCUGCUAGCCAAUAGCUGAUGAUCUCAGUUUUGCUCUACAAGAGGCAACUAACUACCUUUAGGAAUAUAGACAAUAUCACAAAAGAUAACAUGCCUGAUGUAUUUUGGAUGACUCUAGUAAGAAGCUAACCAUACUUUAAAUAGGUCUGGGUUUUUUUUAAAUAUAGGUCUGGGCUGAGAGGGUCUUCUGGGAAGUGUAAAUGGGGAGGAUAUAUAAAGCAUGGGCCAAGCCAUGGAUUCUUUCAUCUUUGCCUUUUACAAUUGCCCUCUGUUUAUAGAAGUCUAUUUAUGAGUCUGCCUUGGUCAUCAGGCAAAAUGCCUUAUUUAUUUCCUGGCUGUUUACAAAACCAAGGACCCAGACUACAGGAUAUUUAUACUGUUGUCUAUCAAAGCAUUCACUGGGAGAAGAGAUAAGCAAUUCAUCUGCCAAAAAUAUUGUGGCUUGCAAAAUAGGAGCACCUAUGAAAGAAGUCACCACAGUACCAUGUCGUGACAAAAUGAGCGUGUUCUCUUGGAUGAUGUAGCUCAUUUAGGUUGAUUUCACCUUCCUCGGAUAUCAUGAACAUAAUUUUUGCUUUUUCACUAUAGCUCUUUGUUGCUUGGACAGGGACAUCUCAGGUGGAAAGGGCCUGAAGCCGAGUCUGAGCUGGAUCCUCCUGAGAACAUCAAGAAGAGUUUACUUCCCUUUUUUUUUCAAAGGACAGAGGAGUAUAUUUAGCCAGGCAAACAUAAGGUUCCAGAUGUGGAAGAUUACGAAGAACAGUAAGAUUUUUCUAGAUGGAAAAAAAGGGAAGGCAGACGCUUGGGUGUGUGCAGGGGCUUAUAGCCCUGGGGCUGCCCUAAAGAGCUUCAUCGUGAAGUCCAGCCAUGUGACCCCCAAGGCUGGACAAGGACCUGGUGUGAAGAGCGGCUCCAGCCCCACCUGUGGGUUCCUGAGCCAGCUCGGCACAGUCUCAGCAUUGUUCUAUUUGGUCUUUGUCUUCAGGGCUUCACUGACAUCAUUCGACCCUAUUUCUGAGUGAGAUCAGGUUGAUUUCUCAGAGCCCAAGGAUCCCAAUGACAUGUCAGCUUUACCAACCUCGAGUCACCUCUGCUUCUCCAGAAACACAUGCAACAAGACAAUUAUCAUUUUUCAGAGCCUUUUAACAACAACGCCUUUGGCGUGUCACUUAUCUGACUUACUUCUGACUUUUCCUGUGCCUGUGUCCCAUCCCUUUAAUUUCAUCUGGCUCUUUUCUCCAUCAUCAGCCCUGCUUCCUGGCCCCAUUUUGCUAGAGCAAACUGCCAACCCCAGGGCUUUUGCCCUCCUUUUCACAUUCCCCUCAAAAGUCACCCAAGGUAUCCUGGAAGCAAAGUAGAAGAGCUUAUACUAUUUUUGUAGUGGGAAGCCUUGCGAUGACUUGUCUAAGCAUGGCCUCUUUGCCAACUGAAGUGGUUCAUGCUCUGGCCAGGGGGAAGGUACGGUGGGAUUUUGCCCAGGCACAUCUUGGCCAUCCUGUGUUUCAUGCUGCCUGUGCUGAGUCGGCUAUUAUUUUUCCUUGAGGAACAGUGUUGGAGGCAUGGUUGGAAUUCACAUAACUGUAAUCUUUCAGGUUGUCUCUGGUCCUGUCCAAGAACAGAAUCUCAACUCCAGCCAAAUACUCCCAAAAGCAAAGGGCAUUUGUCAUAGACUGUAAGCACCCUGAGAGCACACAUUUCUGUCUGGGUUCUCCUCAUUCCAGGCACACAGAAUGGAGCCUGUCCCUAAGCCUGUCCCGCUAAGUCUUUGUUAAUUUAAAUUCCUGCCUGAUGAAAUUAUUACUGUAGUACUCUAGUACGGCUUUGCAGCAAGGCUCUGCUGCAUUAAAUAAUGCAAUAUCUAAUGAGUAUGGCAGGGCAGAUUUUAAUAUGCUAACUAAUAUACACAAAGGAGAAAAAGAUCUUUGUAUGUAUCAUGGACUUUGAAUGAACAUGAACUUCUGAGGUCUGUAAAUAUCUUUCAGAGGACACGACUGAAAAUGGUGGAGAAAUAUAAUAAAUUUUAAGCAGCGUCUUGAACAUGAAAGAGUUGAUAAAAAGAAAGGUAAGCUUUUUAAUUAUAAAAAUAUGAAAUUGAUAGAUUUCCCUACUUAUUUGAAACACCAAAUUUUCCUAGGACCUUAGUAUUGCUAUUUCCUAAAAAAGGAGGGGGAGCGGUGUUUAUACUAGGUAAAAUUCCCUCCAGUUCUAAAAAGUUGAGAGACUAUAAUUAUAAAUGAUCAAAAAUCAUAAAAAAAUAAGUAAAACUUAUGUCUUUAUUCUCUCUCAGGGGAAUAAGUCUAGCCCUAGAAGAAAAAAAACCUGCAAUAACCUGAAGUCUAUGGUUGUAGUCUUUUGUGUAUUUGAAUUCCUUAAACUGUGUACAAAAAUUUUAUAUAUUUUUUCCCUUGAGGAACAAGGAUCCAUAGUUUUCAUCCAAUUCCCAAGGCAGUUUGAGACCACCCCCCCAAAACCUUGUAAGCUACUGGAUUCUAACAUUUUAGAUUGUUUCCUUCUAAGGCUUGAAGUAAUCCUUUCUGUAUGUCAGGCAUUAUGCUAUACAUUUUAUAUGUAUUUUCUCAUUUAACCCUAACUUCACAAGCCUGCUGCUUUUCUGAGAAGUUAACUUUCUCAAAGACUGAUAACUUUCUCUAAGCCGAUAACUGGUGAAGCUGGGACACCUAACCAGGCUGAACCAGGGUGCCAGGCUUUUAUUCAUUAUACAGAACUACUUUCUUUUUGGGAGACAGAACAUCUUCUGGAAACCAGAGCCUUUUCAUUCUUAGCCAUUAUUUUCCCUGUUAUUCAUCUUUUAUAUUUAUACAAUAACUGCUUUCUGAACACCCUAAAGCCUUUCUACACCCAGGAAGCAUUUCUCUGUGGAACCAGCCUUCUAAAGCACUGAAGCAACCCUCUCCAGACCUCUCACCUCAGUUUUCUUCCAUUGUACAACCAGGGCAGUAAGCAUAAUUUUGCCUUAACUAUCUAUUCUAGACUCAAGUCUGGCCACGUGGCACUAAUGGACAACCCAUACAUUUGGAGAGACUCCAAGAAAUCCAUCCCAAGCCCUGAAUGGUCCUGGCCCCGUUUCAGAAUUUUACAAACUUUCCACAAAUUGUGAUUCCAGACACGUUCAUACCUUGGCCCCCAGGAUAAUGGAAGCCACAAAAGAGACAGAAAUUAAAAUGUCAGCCCAGCUGGGCCCACAUUGUAGGCCAGUAAUUACAGUGGAACCCUUUGCCUCUUUGAUCACCUGAGUGGAGCACAUCUGUGCCUCCUGCAAAAAAGGAUAACAGAGUAAUUCAGAACAGUUUUUUUUUUUUUUUUUAAAGAUAUCCCUUAACUCAGUGUAAGUAGAGUGCACUACUUAACAAUGGCAACUAAGGUUUUAAUAAACCACAGGAAAAUUUUUAAAAGCAAGGGGAGAAGCAGAGAUCAGCCUUCUAAUGAGCUUUGUAAUUCAGUGACCACUGUCAUCCCUCAAGACCUAAAUUACCUGAAAUGUGUCCUCAAGGCCUCAGCAGCAAGUAAAAGAAAGCGUUGUUAUUCUUUGCCUGAGAAAAGAGUUACCGCCCAAACCUUUCAGCUACAGCAGAUUCUGAAGGACGAUUUGUAUGCCACGUCACUACGGAUAGCGAAAAGGAUGUCCACAGCCAAGGUGACAUCUGAGAGGUCAUAUACUUUGUGGGAUCAUGAUAGAAGUUCAAAACAUCAGCCUGAGAAAGGUGCUGAUUUCCAGUGUCUGUGAUGUUACAUCCCUGAGUUUUUCCAGCUUUGAAACUGAGCGCUCCAAGCACUUGGAUUCCUUUUCUUCGGCUGCCAUGCCAGGGAAACACUGAGAUGACUUUGGCCAAAAUAACCUUUCUGCCAAUUUAUAUCCUAAUCCAGAGAAGCAGCCGGUUGUGUUACCGAAGGAAACUGAUGUUUGGUCAUGAAGGAGUGUGAUGAAACUUUCCCUGUAUCUUUUUCUCUCUCCAUAUAACAAGAUGGAGAUGGGUUGUUUUCUUAAAGUGCUUGUCACCUGCUUUUUGAUUGUUGUUUUACUUGGCUGCUUUCUCCGCGAGAUUACAGGUUUUAUGAGGACGGUUUUCCCCCUCAACCUAUCUUCAAUACAACAACAACUUUUUUUUUUUUUUUUUUUUGAGAAACGAAUAAAGAAAAUCUUCUAGUCUA